rnacentral:misc_RNA from 1 species
CUCAAUUUCUUGAUUUUGUUAACUUACUGGAGAGAUUUAUUUGAACAUCAGCUAUUACUCCUAUUUCUGCGUGAGCCUGCCGUCCUUACUCUUUUCUUUAUAGGAUUAGGUUGUCUCUGGUAGGUGUUCUCUCAGUCAUAUAUCAUCUUUUUAUCAACAAUUUUCUUCUUUCUUUUUCCUCUUUUUCUUGCGUUGUUUCGUGAAUUUCAGAUUUUUAUCACCUUUUCCUUUUGCUUUAAUGUGGGUUAGUCCUUGUUUGUUGAAAACUUUGAUUCAUUAACUAGUUUAGGAUUAGUUGAAUUAAUCUAUGUGUUCUCUUUUGCUUUCAACUUUUAUUAAUCUGUCUUAGACUAUAGUGAUAUUUUUUAGUUGGAUUACCCUAUGAGUUUCUUGGAAUCAUUUCCAGAUUUGAUCAAAUGGGUUUUGGUAAAUUCUUUCAGUGCUUCCAAUGUCGGGGGAUGUUUCAUUUUAGUUUCAUUUGCUGAUCACCUAGCGUUUUUUUGAUGCUUAUGCAGUGAUCUGACAA